ACUUCCGUCUGCGUGGGGCCCACAUCCUGGAGCGCCCAGGCUUCCGAGGGGCAGACGGUGGGACCUGGUCCGGGCUGAGGUCCUGGCGGGUGAGCAGGAUCUUCGCCGUGCGGCGCAGAGGGUGACAGUGGAGAAGGUGACCAGAAGCCAGAAGGAGCCUAUGUGAAAGUACAUGUGGGACGCCUGCCACAGCACUGCUUGAUGAGUGGUGUAUAGGUCUGCACCUGGGAUCUGAACUGGCGAACCCCAGGCAGAAGCAGAGUGUGCGAACGUACCCACUAUGCACCAGGCCGGCCCCCAUGUCUUUCUUUUUUAAUUGACCCAGGACUUCUCCAUGAAGACUUUCUAGACUUGUCUAUUCAAAG
rnacentral:lncRNA from 1 species